rnacentral:rRNA from 1 species
CCUACGGGAGGCAGCAGUGAGGAAUAUUGGUCAAUGGGCUUACGCCUGAACCAGCCAAGUCGCGUGAGGGAAGACUGCCCUAUGGGUUGUAAACCUCUUUUGUCAGGGAGCAACGCCGACUACGUGUAGCCGGACUGAGAGUACCUGAAGAAAAAGCAUCGGCUAACUCCGUGCCAGCAGCCGCGGUAAUACGGGGGAUGCGAGCGUUAUCCGGAUUUAUUGGGGUUAAAGGGUGCGUAGGCGGAAUGCCAAGUCAGCGGUAAAAUCGCGGGGCUCAACCUCGCUCCGCCGUUGAAACUGGCGGUCUUGAGUGGGCGAGAAGCAUGCGGAAUGCGUGGGGUAGCGGUGAAAUGCAGAGAUAUCACGCAGAACUCCGAUUGCGAAGGCAGCAUACCGGCGCCCAACUGACGCUGAAGCACGAAAGCGUGGGUAUCGAACAGGAUUAGAUACCCUUGUAGUC